CUUCGAUCAUAAAGCAGAAGUACCUGCAAGAGCCAUCUGAUAAAAACACAUUUUUCCAGAUGUUGUUUGAUCUGAAUGGCUUGUAUUUACACAGAAAUGGAGUUUGUGAUUAGAAUGAUGGAAUAAUUAGAGGCCGGAAGGGGAGACUUCUGGAGUAGCUGGAUCCAAGUACAUUGCUAUCUUCAGCUUCAGUGGAAGAAUUUAAAAGAGGAACCUCUGUACUGUUUUCCAUAGCAGCUGCACCAUUUUACAUUCCCACCAACAGGGCACAAGAGUUCCAGUUUCUUCACAUCCUCACCAAAGCUUGUUAUUUUCUGGGGGUUU